rnacentral:rRNA from 1 species
AUCGGGGUAUGAUGAGCCCGCGUUGGAUUAGCUAGUUGGUGGGGUAAAGGCCUACCAAGGCGACGAUCCAUAGCUGGUCUGAGAGGAUGAUCAGCCACAUUGGGACUGAGACACGGCCCAAACUCCUACGGGAGGCAGCAGUGGGGAAUAUUGGACAAUGGGCGCAAGCCUGAUCCAGCCAUGCCGCGUGAGUGAUGAAGGCCUUAGGGUUGUAAAGCUCUUUCACCGGAGAAGAUAAUGACGGUAUCCGGAGAAGAAGCCCCGGCUAACUUCGUGCC